ACCAAGGAGUUUAACAUGUGCGCGAGUCAUUGGGUGUUACGAAACCCAAAAGCGAAGUGAAGGUAAAGGUUCGACUUGUUCGGACUGAGGUGAGAUCCUGUUGUCUUGCUCAUACUUUCCAAGUUGCGAGCAGCGGGCGCAUCACCGGCCCGUCUCAUGACGUAGACAUGUGACCUCAUGUUGUGUGCACCGUCGGGGCGGAGCAAGAGCGUACACGUUGAGACCCGAAAGAUGGUGAACUAUGCUUGUGAAGGUUGAAGCCAGAGGAAACUCUGGUGGAGGACCGUAGCG
rnacentral:ncRNA from 1 species